GACGAACGCUGGCGGCGUGCUUAACACAUGCAAGUCGAACGGAAAGGCCCUGCUUUUGUGGGGUGCUCGAGUGGCGAACGGGUGAGUAACACGUGAGUAACCUGCCCUUGACUUUUGGAUAACUUCAGGAAACUGGGGCUAAUACCGGAUAGGAGCUCCUGCUGCAUGGUUGGGGUUGGAAAGUUUCGGCGGUUGGGGAUGGACUCGCGGCUUAUCAGCUUGUUGGUGGGGUAGUGGCUUACCAAGGCUUUGACGGGUAGCCGGCCUGAGAGGGUGACCGGCCAAAUGGGGACUGAGAUACGGCCCGGACUACUAAGGGAGGCAGCAGUGGGGAAUAUUGCAUAAUGGGCGGAAGCCUGAUGCAGCAACGCCGCGUGCGGGAUGACGGCCUUCGGGUUGCAAGCCGCUUUCGCCUGUGACGAAGAGUGAGUGAAGGUAAUGGGUAAAGAAGCACCGGCUAACUACGUG
rnacentral:rRNA from 1 species